GUCGGGCUGGUGACAAGCUGUAUACGGUAGGUACUCACUAUCAGCUGCUGAAGCUGUGGUGCGCCCUGCUGUAACGCUGAGGAGAAUCCUGAUCAGUGCAGGAACUCCUCAGCAGCAUCUGCUGUGCUCCGAUUGGCUGAGUGACACAUCACACACAGUCACUCAGCCAAUCAGAGCACAGACACCCCCCACCCACACACAGACCAGCAACUACUCGGGCAGCAGGCUGAAGAAUGAAUGAUAUUGCAGCCAGGAACUCAACACAGGAGAGAUGGUAUGGUAUCAGGAUCUUUGUGAUGGCAGCGGUCAGAAUACAGACAUCACCCUUACAUGCCAAAUCCUGACACCUGGAAGCACACUUACGUUCGGGAGCCAGCAGUCGGGAUUCCAGUGCCGGCAUUUUUAUCCAUGUGGGGAUCCCGCACCAGCAUUCUGACCAAUGUUGGUAUUCCGGCAUCAGCAUUCCAAAUGCCGAUAUCCUGAACGCCGGUUCGGCAGUGCCAGGAGGGAGCAGAGGUCCAGCUAGCGGAUCCGGAACGCUGACUGGUGAUAUACCAUCUUCUUUGCUUCUAAAGGACUGACAAGUUACUUCCUGACUCUGGUAAUUAAUUGAAUCCUGCCAUCGUGUUUGCUGCCCUCAGAUAUCCUGAGUGUCUUUCUUUAGGAAUUGUUGACAUCAUUUGUGUGAUUCAGAUUUGCCAAGUUUUUCACUACCAUCUGGUAAUUAUUUGGGAUUUGUCAUCCAGGAUUCCAAGAGGAAUCAAGUGUUUUUAGAGUUUUU